GGUAGCGCAAUCACUUGUCUUUUAAAUGAAGACCUGUAUGAAUGGUGGAACGAGGGCUUAACUGUCUCCCUUCUCAGGUCAGUGAAAUUGAUCUGUCCGUGCAGAAGCGGACAUAAGCAUACAAGACGAGAAGACCCUUUGGAGCUUAAGACAUAAAGCCAACUGUGUCAAAAACCCAAAUCAAAAGGAGAUUAAACAAAACAGCACAACUGACUGACGUCUUCGGUUGGGGCGACCGCGGGGGAAAACAAAGCCCCCACGUGGAGUGGGAAAACUCCUAAAACCAAGAGAGACAUCUCUAAGUCACAGAACGUCUGACCAAAUGAUCCGACCACAUAGGCCGAUCAACGGACCAAGUUACCCUAGGGAUAACAGCGCAAUCCCCUCCAAGAGUCCAUAUCGACAAGGGGGUUUACGACCUCGAUGUUGGAUCAGGACAUCCUAAUGGUGCAGCCGCUAUUAAGGGUUCGUUUGUUCAACGAUUAA
rnacentral:rRNA from 1 species